GCGCCGUGGUGUGUAUGGUUUUGCGCAUGUGUAGUAAUGAAAAGGUCCGCUUGUAUUCGGAUUACCCAGUAUGAGUGACAACUGUAAUAAAGCCGGGAGAGGCGGUAGGUUUGUGAGUUAUUGGCAUUAGAAGUAAUAUUCAAUGAUAGAGCAUUCUGUAGUUACCAUGAGUAUUGUCUUACAUUCCUUGGAACUCUCACCAAACUCAUUCACAUUAGGGCAGUAGGACAUGCCUGAUGCUAGCUCUGUAUAUGUAUUGACUAAAUGGUAUGUUAAAGGAUGCACUCAUUAUUGUGUGUCAUUAAUUUAUCAUUCAAAUAGAGGGUCAAUAUAUAAUCAAAUAUGUAGGUAAGAGAUUAUUUUAAAAUGGACAUUUGUGAUGCUCGAAUUGGUUGCAUGUCUUGUUGAAGGUGCAGUGCGGUAAUGAGCUUAGAUGUUAUUACACAGCUGGUGGUCCAUGGCUUGGAACAUUUUUGUUGAUGGUACAUGGUGAUUAUCAGUACUGGAGCACUGUGAGUUUUGACCAUUUGUCAGCAGAGACACAGCUUAUGCUAGAAUGAUAAAAUAGGAGUUGUUCUCAUUGCAGGCCAUUAACCCCUUAAGGACCAAACUUCUGGAAUAAAAGGGAAUCAUGACAUGUCACACAUGUCAUGUGUCCUUAAGGGGUUAAAGGAACACUAUAGGGUUAUUAGGUGUGUGUGUUCCCCCUACCCCUCCCGCUGGGCUGAAUGGGUUAAAACCCCUUUAGCCACUUACCUUAAAGGAACACUAUAGUCACCUAAACAACGUAAGCUUAACCCCUUAAGGACCAAACUUCUGAAAUAAAAGGGAACCAUGACAUGUCACACAUGUCAUGUGUCCUUAAGGGGUUAAAGGACCACUAUAGGCACCCAGACCACUUCAGCUCAAUGAAGUGGUCUGGGUGCCAGGUCUAUCUAGGGUUAACCCUGCAGCUGUAAACAUAGCAGUUUCAGAGAAACUGCUAUGUUUACAAUAGGGUUUACCCAGCCUCUAGUGGCUCUCAUUGACAGCUGCUAGAGGCGCUUCCACGCUUCUAACUGGGAAAAUCACAGCGAGAAGAUGCUGAGGUCUAUAGGAAAGCAUUGAGAAAUGCUUUCCUAUGGACUGAUUGAAUGCGCGCGACUCUUGCUGCGCAUGCGCAUUUGGCGGAUGACGUCGGAAGAGCGAGGAGAGUCCCCAGUGCCGAGGGAGCCUGGCACUGGAGAAAGGUAAGGUUUUAACCCUCUUCCUCCCCCUUCAGCCCGGCGGGAGUAGGACCCUGAGGGUGGGGGCGACCUAAAGACCCCAUAGUGCCAGGAAAACGAGUUUGUUUUCCUGGCACUAUAGUGGUCCUUUGAUGAAGCAGUUUUAGUGUAUAGAUCAUGCUUCCCAGGUUUCACUGCUCAAUUCACUGCCAUUUAGGAGUUAAAUCACUUUGUUUCUGUUUAUGCAGCCCUUGUCAUUGAGACUGCAGGGACAUGAUCUAUACACCAAAACUGUUUCAUUAAGCUAAAGUCGUUUUGGGGACUAUAGUGUCCCUUUAAUCCAGCGCUGGUGACUUCUCCUCCCCCUGCCGAUGUCCGCUCCCAAGUGGAGCCGAAUGUGCAUGUGUGGUCAGAUCUGCGCGUGCAUUCAAACCGCCCAUAGGAAAGCAUUACUCAAUGCUUUCCUAUGGGGAUCUGAACUCCUGCUGUGAGUUCAAUGCGAUUUUCACACCCGAGAAUCGCGUAGACGCCUCUAGUGGCCCUCAGGAAGACAGACACUAGAGGCUGGAUUAACUCUAAUGUAAACAUAGCAGUUUCGCUGAAACUGCUAUGUUUACAGCUGCAGGGUUAAAACUAGGGGGAUAUGGCACCCAGACCACUUCAUUGAACUGAAGUGGUCUGGGUGACUAUAGUGGUCCUGUAGGCUGCAUUGAGUAAGCAAACAAUCUUUAACUUUGGGUUAAGAGCAUGAAUGCAUUGUAUAUUAUGGAAAGUGUGGGGACAUGUAGCAGACUGGGAAGGACACUGUAACGUAUACCGGUUUCAUUUUACUAUAAAAUAAGUUAUCUGGGGAUGGCAAGAGUAAGGAGAGAGCCAGUACCUUGGCUAGUUAGUGAAGUAACAGCCAGAAUAUUUUGGGGAACUAGGGAGUGAAAGAAAAUACCUGAAACCUUAGGGCUUGAAAAUCUUUUUGAGAAGGUGGAGGAGGCAGCAAAAAGCUCUGCAAUAAAUUUAAUUUGUUCUUUGUCCUCAGAACGGUUAUACCCUACAUGUUCUUUCAGAAAAAAUGACAAGAUAUGAAAUGAGUUUUGAUUGGGUCUCAACAAGUCCGGGAUGAUGCAACGAAUCAAUAAAAACGUGAUUUUGGCCGUCCUGACAGCUGCAAGCUCUUUGUUUCUUCUAUUCCAACUUUAUUACUUCAAGUAUUAUAUAUCGACAAAGGUAAGAUUCAUUUAUACAUGGUUAUCUACAAUCCUCAGUUAAAUGUAUUAUUCAGCUAGAAAGCAAUUGCAGAUAAUCAAAUCCAUAGUGUAAGCUGAUCCUGAAUGUAACCUCUGUUGAAAAGACUAAGAAUCAUUCUACCCAAAAAUGUGAAACGGGCAGUAGAAAGGUUAUCAUGAAGCAAUUUUUUUUUUAUUGUUUAUUAUGUACUGCACGGAGGAACGACCACCCAACACCCGGAGAAAAUCGCAAAGGAAUUUAUCAAUUACUACUCGUCCUUAUAGGAUAGAAUGCAUUAAACGGGACCACAUAGAACACUUCCUACGAGAACACCUCCCCACAACCGUGACAGCUGCAGACGCAGAAACGCUCGACCUACCGAUCACUGAAGAGGUAAUACGAGCAGCCAUCAUAACAACAAAAACAGGUCGUGGCUCCAGGAUAUCCUGAUCCCCAAGCUCACAAAAGCCCUGAUGCCAACACUAGUGCACCCCAACUAAACGGGAUUCAUACCGGAAAGAAAGGCCCAAGAUAGCACCCUAAGGGCCCUCGACAUACAAUACCUAGUGAGACGAAGCAAAUCACCACUCCUCUUGCUCUCCACAGACGCUGAAAAGGCGUUCGACCAAGUAGAUUGGACGUUUUUUAAAAUGGUAUUACACCUGCUGGGAUUCACCACAGCCAUACUGAGCUGGAUCGAAGCACUAUACAGCAACAGGACGGAGUCCUUUCCGAUCCAAAAUGGCACUAGACAAGGGUGUCCCCUAUCCCCACUACUGUUCGCGCUAAGGUUAGAACCCCUGCUAGAAGCAAUAAGACGAAACAUCAAUAUGGAAAGCCACCACACACAAGGUUGCCGCAUACGCGGAUGACAUGUUAUUCUUCAUCACACAACCAAGAAUCGCCCUGCCUAAUGAAAGAACUCUAAGACUACGGACACCUGUCGGGCCUCAAACUCAACCUAAGCAAAUGCGAACUCCUCAAUGUAAACGACCCGAUGAGAGAACACAAAGCUAUAGUCUCGACCUUCCCGUUCCGGUGGUGUCAGUCCCGAAUGAGAUACCUAUGGAUUUGGAUGACAGCGGAUCCAAGCUCCCUCUAUCAAACAAACCUUAUCCCUCUCCUCACUCGAAUUCAGCAAGACUUACGGACCUGGAACUACCCACACAUUUCCUGGCUAGGCCGCAUAGCGGUGAUCAAAAUGAAUAUAUUACCCAUAAUAUUAUACCUAUUCCACACGAUCCCCCUAUCAAUACCGACGGCAUUCUUCGCUUCUCUGAAAGCUACAUUCCUGACCUACAUAUGGAGAGGACACAGACCACGACUGCGAUAUGAACUCUUCUGCCAGAAGAGAAGAAACGGAGGAUUAGCACUCCCAGACCUACGGAAAUACUAUCAUGCAACAGCCCUACAACGGAUCCUAGAAUGGCACACUAACAUACGACACAAACAAUGGGUGGUCUUGGAUACAGACUAGUCCAUUGGCCCAUCCAUCUUCACCUCAGUAUGGAACACGAAAACGACAACGCAGGACGAUCUAAACAAACUCUCCCCGGCAAGUCAAACUCUUCAGACAUGGUCGACAAUGCGGAAAACAACAACCAUUCCCCCCACACCCAGCCCAAUGACCACUCUAACGAACAACCAACUAAUAGGGGGAGAGCUACCAGCAAGGGCUUGGAACUUUCUGGGGGGAGAGGACUUCAUCUCACUUCACAAAACACUGACCGCCACCGGACUGGUGCCCCUAGAACAAAUGGUAUAAGGCACACCGACUCCCAUGCAAAGAUACCGAUAUACACAACUGACACAUUUCUAUCACGCACUACCAGAUAAAGCCACAGUGCAUAGAACCCUCACGUGGUUCAAAGAGGUAUGCGACAAAAAAACAACUAUCCAGAAACCAACCUCAACCCUCUACCAAUAUCUGAUCACAAACAACCAAAUGACAGUACUGCCAUACAAGAGAAAACGUGAAAACCUCACAGACAGGGCAUUCACAGACGCACAGUGGGACAAAAUUCUAAUCCUCCACUACAAAUCCUCAAUCAGCUUGUCAUACCAAGAAAUGAAUUACAAAUUACUAACGUUCUGGUACAGAACCCCGGACCUCCUACACAAAAUAUUCCCCAAUACCCCGGCGACGUGCUGGAGAUGCGAGAUGGACAUGGGCACAGUAAAACACAUCUGGUGGGAAUGCACCAAAAUCAAACCAUUCUGGAACUAGAUUAUAGCUCGCAUCAGGGACGUCCUAGGAGACGCGACGCAGCUGUCCAUGGAAAACCUGCUCCUCCACCACACACGAGACCCGAUCUCGAAAUACAAAAGCUCUAUCCUACGCCACCUCCUUGACGUAGCCAAGGUAUUAAUCCCUACUCUCUGGAAACAAACACAAACCCCCACGAUGGAACAAUGGCUAACCAGAGUGGAAGACAUCAGAGCCGCAGAAGAAAUGCACACAACACUGACGGACACUCUCUCAAAACACGUAGACAAAUGACAACCCUGGAUACUAUACGUGGCAAGAUGGGACCCGGGGCACGGCCAGCGGGGAUGGAGACUAGUGGGAGGAUCCACCCUCCCCGCACCAUACCUUCCCUGCGCAUCCACUCCUCCCUCACCCUACCUCAUCACAUUCAACCUUCUACACCACACACCAACUAUAACAAACAACCAAAUCAUACAUAGUUACAAUAUUUUAAAACACACACCCGUACGGACACACGAUUAAUGCCACACAAUCACAAUCAGUCUGACACGCCUAAUGAAGAACCCCACACAACACUGGAACGAUCACCCCUCGGGAAAUAACCAUACACUCAAUAGGACCACUCCAAGCCCACGACUCAGACGACGAGCAUAACAAACACACUGAACUUGGAGACCAAACCUACAGAUUCACCUCCAACAAUAACAAAACCUGCAAUUCAACUGGACAUCUAAGGGACCAACACAUAACGCGAAGAAAAAGACUACAACCCAUAGAAAAAGAUAACAGAGCAAGAUAACACACACCUGAGCAAUGGCCACGCACAUACCACAUAAAGAGAACACCACACAAGCACACCAACCACCAAUCACCACCUCCAAACACCCCAUUGUGAGGGGAUACAAUUGACCCAAACACGUUAAAACAAGCCUAGAAAGACCCACGAACCCUAACAGAACACCCUCAAGACACCAACUAUACCAACCUGAACAGAGAUACAUGCGCCCCACAUUCUGAAGACCCAUAUGUCCAAUGGGCACGUGACAUAAACCAAUAACUAUACCCUAUCCCCCCACUACAACCACCCCCACCCUUAGGCACAUACAUCAUAUCAACAACUGAGGCAAAAGAAAACCAACAAACUGAGGACAUGAUUACCCCCAAUACACCUCCAAAUCCACCACAUAUCACACAGAAAGAGUAACAAUCCCACAAACUCAUGGCGGACUACAAGCUCUAAUAUCGGAAAUGUCUAAGGAAUCUAUGUUAAUGCUUUACCGAAAUACGUAACAAAAAAGAAAUAAAAACCAUACCUACUUUUAUAAUGCACUCCGUAAUAAAAUAAUAGAGACCCACACAGACAGAAACUAACCACACCUAUAUGAACUGCUAGGGACACCACCCCGCCUAAUUAGGCCGACCCACACACCCAGAAGUCUGAAUCUUACCAUCAACAGAGAUUAACAAAGCGGUACUCAGAAAGGACAUGUUUCACUCAAAUGGACCUGCGAGUCCAUCAAAUACAAUAUAUCAUUCCUAAUUGUUUAUACCAUUCGUGGAGGCCUGCGAGCCUCGCUGUUUAAAAUGUCCAACUGUUACAUACUAAUGCUGUCAUGAACAACACCACCAAAAAGUAAUAAAAAUUACAUUUACUUAAAAAAUGGGUAAACAAUACCCACUUGCCGUGUGUGUGUAUGUGUAUAUAUGUGUGUAUAUAUAUAUAUAUAUCUCUCUAUCUCUCUCAUGGACCCUUUUAUCCCUUCUAGUAUUUGCACUCUGGAGCUGCUUGGAUAUAUCAUUCUGAUAGAUCACCAUUUAUAGGGGAGAGCCAUGCAAGAGAGACAAAUCCUGCAAGUGGUUCCUAUUCCCCUUGGCAUAAGGAGACCAAUAAAAGAGGUCUUCAAAUUUAAGGUCCAAAUAGCUAAACUGAAAAAAAAAAUCUAAGUCCGAUAUAUUUCCAGUAAGACUAUGGCCUUAAAUUUGAAAUUCACUUUGCAUUCUCAUCAAUUCCCAUUUUAGUGAAUAACCCUGCCACUGUAUGUGACACUUUCACCUAACCCAAAAUAUUUAUUAUCUGAUAAAAUUUCGGUACAGAAGGAUUAAAGGACCACUCUAGGCACCCAGACCACUUCAGCAUAAUGAAGUGGUCUAGGUGCCAGGUCCAGCUAGGAUUAACCCAUUCUUUUAUAAACAUAGCAGUUUCAGAGAAACUGCUAUGUUUAUGAAUGGGUUAAGCCUUCCCCCAAAGCCUCUAGCGGCUGUCUCAUUGACAACCGCUAGAGGCGCUUGCGUGCUUCUCACUGUGAUUUUCACAGUGAGAGCACGCCAGCGUCCAUAGGAAAGCAUUAUGAAUGCUUUCCUAUGCGACCGGCUGAAUGCGCGCGCAGCUCUUGCCGCGCGUGCGCAUUCAGCCGACGGGGAGGAACGGAGGAGGAGAACUCCUUGCCCAGCGCUGGAAAAAGGUAAGUUUUUACCCCUUUCCCCUUUCCAGAGCCGGGCGGGAGGGGGUUCCUGAGGGUGGGGGCACCCUCAGGGCACUAUAGUGCCAGGAAAACAAGUGUUUUCCUGGCACUAUAGUGGUCCUUUAAGAUGGAAGCUGGUAGCAUAUUAUUCAGACAUUGGUUUCAUACUAAUAGAAUGUUUGUUCAGAUUGGCUCUUGCCUUUGGAAUUAUACAGAUAUAAUAUUUAUUGGAAACCUAAUUCUUUCAGCUUGUUUGUUCCUGUGUUAGUUUUUUAGAAGCGUUUCCCUUUGUGUUUCCUAGAAUGGUCCAGCAUAUUCAAAAUUAAAAGGAAGUUUCUCAUCUCAAGAAAGUGCACAAUGGGUAAGUGCAAUCAUAAUUUGCAUUUAUUUUUGUUUAUUUUAAUUCCAGAGUAUAUGCAUUGCCUUUUUACCCAUGCAUGCACUACUGCGAAGAUUUAAAAUAGAGAAUGUUGGGCUCUGAUACACCCCGAGUGAUGUAUUCUUCAACCAGGAAAUUACUAAGACCUUAGUUAAUCAAUCUCGAACCUCGUUAGUCAGUUCUUGUCCUAUUAUAACUUGCCACGUUAAAGUUCUGAACACAUGCUUGUGUUUGUCAUCAUGUGAAUGUGCGGUCAGUAAGUUUCACAGUAAAGGAAAUAGGGAAAAGUAUGUGUGCAUGUGUUUCAAAUCCAGACUGUGGUUUUACAAAUCUCUUAAGGUGAUAAAGUUGUUUGUGCAUUUUGAGAGUAUGGGCUCUUCACUUAAAGUAGAUACUAUAACCAUUUAAUCUCAUUGUAAGUGGUUAAUACAGUGUUAAAUUAGUUUAAUAUUAAACUAGUGUCCCAGGCUCACCCCCCACUGGAGAUAUGGCCAAGGCAAAUUUUAUACACUUCCUCUAGCCAUGCAAAUUCAUACAUACAAUGGUUGCCGUCAAUUGACACUCUCAGCCAAUCACAGUCUCCUUUUGCUGCUCAGAUAAUGCUUCCUUAUAAUCACACUAUGGAAAUGAUCUGCUGGGGACUCUAGCAAUAAAACCUUAAAAAUGGUUUCAUGUUAAAUGGAAGGAUGAUGUCAGUGGGCUCUAGACACUAUAAGCAUUUCAUUCAUGAGAUGAAUCGGUUAAAGCGCCUACAGUGUCACUUUUCAAGGAUGAAGUAUUCCUGGUAGUUAUGGAUGUCCACACUGGCAGACUUGCGUUUUUAAAUGCAAUCUACAGUUACUGAUUAGUGCAGAUCUACAUCAGCCAUUAGUAGACCCCAACAGACUUACUUUGCCACUAAUGCAGCAGUGUUUAAUGGUGUGUGGAAAACAAACAGUGGGUAUACAGUAAUCGUUUUUUCUUUUCUCAAACAGCGAGUGGUUAAGAACUUUCUUGGCCUGGUUUCCAGUCACAAUGUCCCAGUCUAUCUUGUUGAUGCUCUUGUUUUGAAUCUACUUGACAAGGACUUGGAACAGCUAAGAAGCUCACCUGACAGUGCUCCCAGUGAAUGCCAGUAUUUCUGCAAGCAUAGAGAUGUCACCACCUUUGCACUAUUGGACAAGAUUUGGGAGCACAACGUAAUACUCUGAGCAUUACCUUUUAUCUUUGUCUUUUAUUUUAUAAUGUUUGGGGUACAAUUACCUAAAAGUUAAAGCUUACAUUGCCUAUUCCUUAAAUGGUUAUCACUAUGUUAGUUAUUGUCUUGCUAGCCUUUGUAACCAUAAACAGUAAUAUUUAAACAUGAACUCACAAAGAAUUUUUAGGAAUGUUCUGGAUAUAGUAAACUGUAAAACAACUAUUUAUCCCACUUGAAGUAUAAAGAAUACAACAAUAUGACUCCAAUAAGAAAUUAAUUAAUAAAAGGUGAUGUUUUACCCUCUUACUAUCCAAUUGUCUUUUGGAGCCCUUCCAAAUCUUCAAUGUAAAUCUAAAACUGAAAAUCUACCGUCAAAACAUACAAAAAAGGGAAACGUUAAGUAGUAUAACAAAACAUAUGAGAGUUGUGUGGGAUAAUAAUGCACUCACAGUAUUGAUGAACUCUGUGGUCUGAUGGUUAUGGAUUCUGUCUCCCACAGCAAAAAUAAACACAUAGAAUAUAAAUUAAGAAAAAUACAGCAUAGUGCAAAACUGUAUAAAAGUACACCUUUACUGUAUUAUAUGCACUUACAGAAUUACAAUCUAAACAGGGUUAUCGACCACUCUGAAUGCUAGUUUCUCCGGGGUCUUAAAAAGCACCUAUCUGAUCACAUAUAUUAAUAAAAAGAAGUAAUAUAUGUGAAUAAAAACUCUAUGCUUUUCAUUGGUGGUGGCACAACUUCCUCGGGGAAGCGGUAUAUUUUCUUUAUCUAUGUGAUUGGGUAGCUGCUUUAUGAUCCUAUAAGGAAAACCCUGGGUUUAGAUAACUUGGCAUUCCAUUUACGAUCAGCCACAGACCUCAUGUCUCUCCAGGCUACAACUUCAACUGUGUUUGUUUUUUUUAUUUGUUUAUUUUAUUUUAAUUGAACUGUGGUGACUGCAGUUGAAACAGCAGGGCCAUUUUAAAGAUUUCUAUAGAUAUUCUUCACCAUUAUGCAUAAAAGAGGACAUUUUUUAUUUUAUUUUUUUUUAAAAUUUGACUUCCAAUUUCAGGGUAACCUGUUUCGAUCUGCAGAGAAAAUGGGAUUUCAGUGGCAGAAGUAUGAGGGGAAAGAUCCACGACUUGAAGGAAUGGAUGAUUUAUCUGGAACGGAAAUCCCUUUGCACUAUAUCUUCAAAAUGGCAGCUCACACUAUCCACUUGGUGGUAUUUUAUGAAAGGAGUGGUAACUACCUCUGGCAUGGUCCUUUGAGACUUAAAAGGAAUAUGGACAAGAAAUUUGCACCAUUCCGGAAACUUCAGUUUGGUCGAAAUGCUGGUGCUUACAACAGGUAAAAUGUAGAUCAUUUUUGUUACUUUUGUUUCUGUAUUUCAUUUGUGUCGAGAAUGAAAGGUUUAGUUCCAAAUGGACACCCUUACCUUGAAAAAGUAAACUCUUGUACCCUCUCCUUUUGUGUAUUCUCAGUAAUUUCUGCAUUCACUUUUGUGGAGCAAUUAAUGAACAUGUAUAUGUGUGAUCACAAGUGCUCUUUCGUGCCCUUACAAAGCAAUCGGAAGCCAGCAGUUGACUGAUGGAUCUGGGCCACUUUCCGGUUCAAACAUACAUCACUGUAAGAUAAUUUUUGGUGCAGGCACUCAUACAGAGAUAAGUUUAUAUUGUUUUUCAUUUGGAAUUAUGUUUUGUAAAUGUAGCUAGUACAUUAACAAUGCAUGCUGAAUCCACCCCGCAGUCUUUCUUUUAGUGUUAUCACUGGACAAAAAUAGUAUUAUUGUGGAUAUAGUUUAUUUUGAUUUCAAUUUUUUUAAAAGGUAACUGCCACAAUACCUUACCUUAACCACAGCUCCCAACUCCUCCUGCCAUCUGCAUGGCAUGUUGGACGCCGGUAGCUCAGAUCAUGGCCCUUUUUAUGAUGCGGUGCAUGCACGCCGUCAUAGCUGCAUUGCCACGAAAAUUCUAAUUUUUUAACUCCCCCUAAUGUUUUUGGGGGGCUAGGUUUUAAAGCAAAAGAUGCUACCCUAUAAAUAGAACGCCUUUGGGUUCAGUGCCCUAUUGUGGUUCACCUGUUGUUCCCUCUAGUGCUAUUGACUUUCCUGAUAGUGUUCUCUUGUAUUUUUGACUUGGAUUGUAUUUGGGCUAUUCUGCUUUUUGCUGUCCUGAAUCGGCUCGUUUCCUGACAAGGCUAUUCCUUAUCACUAUACCGAUCUCUGGUUUUCCUAGACAUUGGCUAUUCCUUGACUUUUCUCUUGCUGUCUACAUUAAACCCAGCCAGUCUAAGGUCCAGUAAUAUGUUUUCUCUAUUUUAGGGUUGCAUUCUGUGUGGUUUUGUCACUUUGUUGUGACAGUAACAGGUUAGUUAAGGUAAUAUCUAAAUAUCUACUUGGGGUAGGUACGCAGGUUGGCAGGGCUUUUGUUGUAUGAGUUUUGUGGUGUUUUUUGUUUGUGUGGGGUAUGUGGUUGUUGUUGUUGGUUUUUUUUGGGGGGGGGGGUUUGUGUGUUUUUUGAGUUCACUUAUGUGGACAAUCAUAUUGGGCCUACUAUGGUUGGAAAGUUGAGUGGUUACUUUUAAUACUGGCCAGUUAAAUGACUGUGGGAACUGAUUAGAUGGGUUCCAUAUAUUUAUCUAGUAUAUAUGGGGUCCUGACCAAUAAACCUUUGUAAGACCACUGUGUGUUUGUUUUUUUGUUUUUUGUUCAGGUAUCUAUCUAGUGAAUUCUCUUUUCACUCUUAUGGGGAUUUUUUUAUAUAUUUCAUAUCUUUUCAAUCAUUGUUUCAGAGCUGAAUUACUUUUGAUCACCGCUGAUGGACUGAAGGUGCAAAUUCCUAAAGAACCCGCACAGUUCUUAAAAGAGAUGACUCAUUCAGAGUUUCUUGAGUGCAGAUACAAAGAAGCAAGAGCAUUUUUUCAGGUUAGUCGAAAAAGCAGAACAUUGUUAUGUUUAACCCUUAUAUAACAUAUACAAUGAAGAACAGCUGGGAAUCUACAAAAGAUAAACCACAAAUGGUGUAAUAUUGUUAAAGAAAUCGUGUUUGCAACUAAUAAUACACACACAAGAUCGGUGAGAAGCGCUUCAAGGUGCCUCCCCCAAGAAAACCUAUUCCCAUAGUGGUCGGUGUUGUAUGCAGACUCCAACAGCUCACAGGAAAGAUGGGUGCAGUCAAGGUCCCAUAUAUGGCGGAGAGAAGCAAACAGAAUUCUUGAACGCUAGUACUAAGCAAUCUAAAUUAUGCAAAUCGUAGAUCUCAGUAUAUCAAUAAGAGAUAAUGGGAUAAGUUGGUGGGUAUAGCAGACUUUGACCUCAUGUAACUCCAUGGCCCCUCUCUAACAUCACUACACCUUUUCCCUUGUUUUACUUCCUGCUUGGUAGUGAGUUGAUCUGGGGUUAGUGGUCAAAUUGGUGGUACACUUGUUCUGCAUUGUACACUAUGUGUCAUUAGGCUUUUAGUUGCAGAUAGGUAUUUCAGUUGCUGCUGCUCAUGGAUUUGCCAUCAAUUAAGGUCUGAAAUAAAUGUUUAGAGUUUGAGUUCUAGAGACACAUGUGCAAUCACUGCAGCCUAUUCCUAUUCGAACUUUAGCAUUGUUUUGGUCAUAGGUAAUGUAAAAGCUGCCUUCACGUGUAUUGUCUGUCAUUAUAGCUGUACCCUGAUGACAUCUCCCCAGAAGGUAUAGAGUUCAGGAAGAAAGCAAAAUCCCUGCUGCACCUGACAGCAUUCACACUGGAUACGUUGGGCAUCAGUUUCUGGCUAAGCAGUGGGACAUGUCUAGGUAAUGCCAACAUGCGUAUCUUUCUCCUCCUCUCUGCUGAGUUAUUAUAGAAAGCUUUGCAAAAAAAUAAGUGUGUAAUGCACACACUAAAAAGGGGAGAAUACUUCCUGCAGGGUGCUCCAGAAAGGAGGGCCAAUCCCUGAAGACAUCAAAUGAAAGAAAAAUAAAUAUCCAGGCACAUCUGAGGUUUCUUCUAAAAGGCAAUCUUUUUUUAUUUUAUUAUUUUUUUUUUUUUUACUUUUAUUUUUUUUUUGUGUAGACAGCGGUUCAGCUCCUCUCUGAGCCUUUAUCAAGUCUCAGGUGUGCCUGGAUAUUUCUUUUUCUUUCAUUAUAGAAAGCUUUUAUGAAAGGUAAAUCUUUCCAGGCGUGGUGCAAGACAAAUGGUCUAAGAUACUUUAAGUGGAUCAGUUAGUUUGACUUUAACAUAGCCUGUGGUACAGUACAAUUCUCACAUAUUACUUUAUUGCUGCCUAAUUCUAGCAUUCCCAUCCGCCACCACUGAUAAUGGCUAAUGGGAAAAGGCAUCUUUUAUGCAUUUUUGUAAAGAUAAUACAAACAAAGAUUAAGAACCUGAACAGUUUUGUUUGUGAGUGGCUUCAACAACCUGCCAAGGUUCUCUCUUCUUGGAUGUAUUAAUGGGAGUUUUUCAUAAUGGGUUUGUAGUUGCAUCUAAGAUAGAUUGGUAUGUAAAACAAAAACAGAAAAAAGCCCAGUGGUGGAGUAAAUCUGGAUACUUGGUUAAAAUGAGUGUGGAAAGUCACUUACAUAUAGUAGAGCUUCAGACCAUCUCGGGAAUUCAGGCUUGGACCGAACAAUUCUCACCUUGUGAUAUGUGGGUGCUAUUCCUUAGAGUAUAGGUCCUCAAUAGAGUGUUGUAUUGGAUAUAUAUAAUUGUAAAUGCACUACUACUUCAUACUACACUAUAUAUUGCUCCUGCCGUUUGGUUUAUAUCCAAUACCAACACUCUGUUGAGGACCUAUACUCUCUAAGGAAAAGCACCCACAUAUCACAAGAAGUUGGUGUUAAGCUCUAUUAAAUGUAAGUGACUUUCCUCACUCAUUUUAUCCAAGAAACAAAGCAAAAAUGAAGUCUUGCGCACCCAGUAAUGGUGUGCACACCAAAGUGCUACUGCAAUUUAUUAAGAGGACAUAGUACACAAGAGCAGACGUUUCGGGCACAAGCCCUUUUUCAAUGCUAAUGUCCUAUGGUAUGCAGGAUAUAGAGACAAUAUAUGCAUAUAUACCCCUUUCCGGUUACACUCUGUGCAGAGUGUUUACAUUACCCAAUGUGCCGCCCCCAAACAAAACGAACACCUGUACAGCAAAUCCAAGUCUCUCUGGCAGUUUCAGAAUCUCCCAACACUUCCUGGAUCGGCAAAUGCGUGCGUGAGAAUGUCAGACGUCAUGUACGUCGCAUUUGACAUCAUCAUGUUCUGUUGCUAGGAAACGGAAAGAAACAAACAUCCAACUGUAUACAGUAUCAGAACAUUGUAAAAAUCAUUCAAAUGUUACAGAAAGCUAGCGAAAAUGUAGUACUGUGUAUAUACUGCAAUCUAUUAGACCAAUAUACAUACUACUCAGAAAAAUACACUACAGUGUAUAUAAAGAAGCAAGGUUAGCAGGGAAGACUCAUGAGCUUUUAAAAGCCACCCAGAGGAUGUACCUUAUAGUGUAGUGAAAAGAAACCAAAUCCCAAUACAAGGAAAAGAAAAUAAGAAAAACAAAUUAGAUAAUACAUGAAUCGGACACCCUCUCCAGGGAGUGAGGGUGUACAGCAAGCCAAUAAAGAUAGAACUAUAUAAUGAGAGUAGAGUGGAUGGAAGGAGAGUAGUGAUAGCUACGAUACAAAAUAUAGGAAUACAUACCCCGAUCCAGGAGAGCUAUCUAGGCGGGUACAUACAAAGGAUACACCUACAGGAACCAGUGCCACUCAAGCUUCUCAUAAAGACCAUGAAGGGACACUGUAUCAAGCAGGUGCAUCCAACAAGUUUCUUUUUGUAAUAGUAAUUUUUCCCUAUUGCCUUCUCUAGUGAGUGGAGGAACCCUUUCAAUUACCUGGUAACGUAAUUGGGAGACAUUAUGCCUCUUCCCUCUAAAUUGUCAUGCAACUGGAGCAUCAGAAGUAAGGCUGCAAAUCGUGGUCUUGUCGAGACACACGAUCUUUCAGCGCACGUAUUGUUUUACCCAUGUAUCCCAGAACGCAUGGGCACUUGAGAAAAUACACUAUGAAGUCCGUCUGGCAUGUAAAGAACCCUUUAACCCCUUAAGGACCAAACUUCUGGAAUAAAAGGGAAUCAUGACAUGUCGUGUCCUUAAGGGGUUAAGUCUAAUCUGUUGGCCAGAUAUACUCCACCAUUAGACAUUUUCUGUUUUUGUUUCACAUAUCCAUCUGACGCAUGACUAACAACAUAUUGUGAAAAAACUGUCCUCUCUGGACAUCCCCCCCCCCUUUUUUUUACUGUGGCUUAUAUUAGAGCAAGCAUGCCAAACUUGCGGCCCAGCCAAUCAAGAGCGCCGGGCAAGGGGGCUCAAAAACCACUUGUCAGAUUGACAAGUGAUUUUUGCACGCCUCGGCCUGCACUCCCUUUGCCCCCAGGAAGUGUGUGGCUCCGUAAGUGAACCACAUGCACAGUACACUAGGAGGGGGAGCGCCUCCCCUCCUGCUCUGCGUAGGAGCGCCGGGUGUUUCGUGACUACCCGGCAUUGAAUCUGUCCGCAUGCCGCCAGAGAGUGAGAGGCUCCCCUAUUAGAUAAAAUGGAAGGGCAGAACAGAGCCAGCGCCCAAGGAAAAAAAAAAAGGGAAGGAAGGAGGGACAGAGUGUAACUGGAAAGGGGUAGGAAAGGAGACAUGGAGGGGGGGUAGAUGUUGAUGGGGAGACACAUGGAUGGAAUGUGUUGGGAGAGAGUCAUGGGAGUAGAAAUAUCAAUUGGAUGGGGGCAAGGGAGAUAUGAAUGGAAGGGGGUAGGGAGAUAUGGAUGGGGUAGAGACAUGGAUGGAAUGGAUAGGAAUGGAGACGUGGGGCUACACAUGAAUGGAAGGGGGUGGGAAAUGUGAGGGGGGGAGAUCUAGGGGGAGAGACAUGAAUGGAAGGGGGAGGAAGAUAUGGGAGGGAGAGAGACAUGAAUGGAAGACGGGAGAAGGAGAAAGGGAUGGAAGAGGGGUAGAAGUGGAGUGCGCAGCCACAUGUUAAUCUUCCUGGAGAUUACAAAGGGACUGAGGAAGCAAGCGUACACUCCAGGCAGUGGCCUUACUACUGCGGCCCACAUAAAUUUAAACCUUGCUUAUCUGGCCCUUGCUAGCUUCUGAGUUUGACAUGCUUGUAUUAGAGAAUGCAGAAGUGACAUCUGUUCCUGGCAGAUGAAGCUGCCAGUAGCUGAAUGUUGACCAUGAAGGAAGAUGGUACCUCCAAGAGGGAGAAAAUCAGGUAAGUAUAUUUCUCAUAGAUGCCUCCAUGCAAGAAGACGUGCCACCUUCUACAUUCAAACUGGUGUGCGCUAUUUUUAUAUAUAAUCUGUGUAUUUAUUAAAGAGACACCAUAGGCACGCACACCACUUCAGCUUAUUGAAGUGGUCUGGGUACAGUGAUCCCUUUUGCACUUAGUGCUGCAAUCUUAAACAUUGCAAUUCCAGAGGAACUGCAAUGUUUACAUUUCAGCACUAAGUCUGCCUCUCAGACAUCCACUGAAGGUGCUUUCUGCAUUCAAAUGGACCUUUGGUCCGGUAUCUGAUGCUCUGCAUGAGGACAUCCAUUUUUUUUUUUGUAAUUUAUUUUUUUUCCUGUAGGAACGCAUUGAUUCAAUGCUUUCCUAUGGGGAGGUCUAAUGCGUGACAUUAUUUGCCGCGCAUGCUCAUUAGAGCCCGCUCAAUGUGGGACGGAGGAGGAGGUGGAGCCGUGACCUAGCACUGAGGGACAUCGGUGCAGAGGUAAGGUAAGUAAAUAAUGGGUUUUUAACACUUUAUUGAUCACCGCUGGGGGUUUGCAGAGGAUCCUUAUAGUAUCUCUAUAAGUAUGUUAUAUUAGUUGCUGGCAUAUAAACUGAAAGUACUGACCGUUUUGUUUGUUUUCACUGUUUCAGGUUGGUAUAGGCAGUGUAACAUUAUACCAUACAGCAAGGAUGUGGAUAUUGGUAUACUUAUACAGAACUACAAAUCUGAUAUAAUUCCAUCUUUUCAAAAGACGGGACUCACACUAAAGCACAAAUUUGGAAAGGUUUGUAUUAUAAUACUGCCAAACACCUCUAAAACUAACAUCUGCUGACCAUUACAUUUUUUUCAAAUUUAAGUUCAUUCUAUGAAAUUUCUAUUAAAUUAUGAAGGGUUACAUAACCACGUCCUCCUUUCUUUCCCCUUCAUUCUUCAAAGUCGAGUUCCUAAACAUAGGCAGCUACUUAGUGGAAUAUUAGAAUAUACACUAGAGUUUUUUUUUAUUAUUAUUAUUAUUAUUAUUUUGAUGUCUUAAAACAUGAUAUGUCUGCUGAAAUAGUUUUAUAUAUGUUUUUAUUUAUAUAACCAACAAAUCAAAUUUCGUGUUACAAUACUCCUUUUGUGAGAGUGUGCAUUUGGUUUGAUUUUUAAUUAGAUGCACAGUAUUGUUAUGCAGUAUAUAUUUUGCAUUUACACGUUUUGCAAUAUUUAUUACAUCUUAUAACUAAUUAGGAUCUUUGAUAGAGAGUGAAGAUUCACCUACUGGUCAUUCUACAUUUUGGUUUAUUCACUAGUUUGAUAACUUGUAAAGAGUUCAGAAAGAAACUGCAAAUUUAGAGAACCACUUAAGGCAACCAGACCACUUCAUCAAAAUUUUAGACUGGGUGCAGUGUCCAUUUAGUUUUAACUCUUCUAUCUAAAGCAAGCCGUUUAGUAGAUACAGCAAUGUUAUGAUUGCAAGUUUAACAAACCUCUAACGACUGUCUUCCUGACAGCCAAUGGAGGUGCUUCCCAUGUGAAAACAGUCAAUCUUUAUUCAUAAUCAAAUGCUGCUCAUAGAGAGCAUUUGAUUGGUGCAGUGAUUUUUUGCAUAUGCACACUAGCAUUGGAUUGGCUGGGAUUAUCAAUCUUGAUGAUCUCAGGCUGGGAGGUGGGAUGGCACACUUGUACUACAUUGAGGGAUGUUUAAAGUGGCUGUGUCACUUUUGAACUUUCAUAAAUCAAAUUUUCCCAAAACGUUCUUGUAGACAGUGUUGAAGUUUCUUGGAAAUUCUAGUGGAAUAGAGAUAUACAUGUACAAAAUAGGGACUACUUGCUCUCCUGUAAAUGCCAAUCUGACAAUAGAUGGCGUUCAUUGUCAUUUCACAUUAGCUGGACACAUACAAUGAACAAUAGAUGCCUGUGGCACCUUAUUGCAAACAACUGUCUAUUGAAGAUAUUGUGGCCCAGCAUGAUUUUCCAUAGACCAAGUUCAGUUGUGAUGACCACUCCAGGCAGAUAACGUUUCCAGAAGCCAACAAAGUAUCAAAGGGACAUAAUGCCUUUGCUGAGGAGCGAGACCUGAAUGCAAGUAAAUGAUUUAGGCAAACAAAAUCCCCCACAAAAAUAAUAUAAUACCCUAUAAAGUUCCUAGUUUUUCUAGUGCAAGCAGAAGCAAUAGGCAGACUCUUCCCUGACAAUAGGAUACUAAACCACUCAUCCCAGUGAGCAGGAUUUUUCGUAUACUGUUCAGCAGGAGUUUAUAGAAUGGGUAGUACCAUAACUAUACAUAAUGGCUAUAUCGUGACUGCUAUUCACAGAAGCAGUUUUGUGAAUGGGACUGUGUAUUGUUAUCUGCCAGAUUCACAUGAACGGAUCGGAGUUGUAGGAGUCUGGGUGAUGGUAGGUGCCCAGUCCAGUGUGCACUCAUAAAUUGGAAGGAUCUUUGACAACAAAGGAGGAAAUUAAAUUUACUCAAAUAAUGUCUCUACCCCAUGCCCAUAGGUACAGAAAAUCUAAUAAGCAAAGCUGUGCAGAGAGAUUUGGUCUAAAGUGUAGUGAACACCGUGAUCCCAGUCUCCUUGCACACUUUAGUUUAUAACAGGGAUUACCGGGACCCUUUAAUCCCUAGUGCAGGGUAAAAGUGUCAUGUUGAUUGAGAAAAUUAUCAUAAAAACAAAAGGUUCACUAUGGAAGUUAUCAGUUCUUAUAGUUUGUUGCAAAAUAUAGACUCAACAAAAGUAAACAUGUAAUAAAACGGUCUAUUCUGAAAGAUUUAUGUUUAACUGUGUUGUAAACACAAAUCGCUUAGAAAAUGCCAUGUUGUUGAUCUGAGCUGUCCUAAUAUCAUGGCCCAGUAGGUGGCAGCACUAUUCAACUUUUGUGACCGUUUUUAUUUUUAGGAAACUGAGAUGGCUUUGCAGUUUGCUAAGAAUCAGUGGAAACAUUCCGCAGUAUCAGUAUUUUAAAAAAAAAUUAAAACAAAAAUCUGUUUUGCUUUUUUCUAUAUUUAAUAUUAUUGGUAGUCAUUAAAAAGUGUAAUGAGGUAUGGGUUUUCAGGCAAUUUACUUUAAGCAAGAAAUUAAUAAUUUCUAGGGUUAUUUACUGUGAGAAUGCACAGUGAAUUUAAAAUUUUAGGCCAGAGCAUUUUUCCAAAUGCACUGUUUGGACCUUAAAUUCAAAAUUCGCUUUGAAUAUCCAUCAAAUCUCACUUUAGUAAAUAACCCUGUCAGUCUUCAGCUGUAGGCUUGUUUCCAAUGUUGUUGCAACUUUUGUUUACCAACUAGCAGCUACUCACUAAAGUGCAUGUUGAUACAAUUCGUGAGUAGCGUCUUUUUACUAACUGCAAUAUCACACCACUCAAGGCCGGGUCUUACUGGCUACCACUACUUAAAUCCAGUGACUAAGUAACUGCUAAUGGUUCCUAUCACUGGUUCGUGAGUCUAUUGCUGUUAUUCCUUCAAUCCUCCACUAGGCCUAAUUCCAGAUGUGCUGAAUAUAGUGAAAGUAUUCCCUUUGUGUAGAGUUUCCCCAAUGUAAUGGACGCAACCAGUCAUAUUGGGUAAAAACCGCAAUCUGAGCUUUAUUGGGCCACACUCUGCUUCUUAUGCAGUGCCCCUAGUAUGGGGUUUCUAAUACAAAAUCACAGGGGUUUCAUUCCCAGAAGCCAUUGUGUUUGAGAGAUAAUUGAGCUCCAAUUAAGCUAAUCCAAUUAUCUCCCAAAUAGGAAAACUUACAUACAGUUUUUACAUAUCACAAAAAUAUAUGACAACAGCAUUGGAACCCCACAAAAAUUAUAUUCCCGAAUAGCACCGAUCUAAGUGCACAACUUAUCCAAUAAGAGCUCAGAUCGGUAAAACGAAAGUUAUGUUCGUGCAUAUAUGAACUGGCUUCCUGGUAGAGGUGGUAAUGUCAAUUUCAAAAGGGGUUAAUUUGAUUGUAUGGGAGCUCAAUGAGACAGCCACUAGAGGCUGGAUUAACCAAUUUAUAAACAUAGCAGUUUCUCUGCAACUGCUAUGUUUAUUAAAAAAAAAAAAGGGGGGGGGGUUAAACCUAGCUGGACCAGGCACCCAGACCACCUCAUUAAGCUGAAGUGGUCUGGGUGCCUAUAGUGGUCCUUUACGUAAACAAACUGUGCUGUCACAUCUGGUUCAAAAUUUAUUUUUUGCCAUGUAGGCUGUGAGUCACAGCCAGGGGAGUUGUGGCUAGGGCUGCAUAAACAGGAACAAAAGUGAUCUAACUCCUAAAUGGCAGAGAAUUGAGCAGUAAGACUGCAGACGCAUAAUCUAUACACCAGAACUGCUUUGUUAAACUAAAAUAGUUUUGCUGCUUAGAAUAUCCCUUUGAAGCCUCAAAACUUGCUGGGGCCCUCCUCAUGCAUAUCAUAGGGCCUUGUUAUUACUGUGUUCACAUCAACCAGCGCCUCUUAUUUGAGUUUUACCCAAUGCCUUGCAAACAUAUGGAGUAAUGUCACUUUUUAGGAUGAUUGGGAUGCUGAUUGUGUUAUUAACAAACUAGAAUAACAAUGUGUUGCAGGUGUAAAAGCAGAUAAAAAGGUUAAAAGGAACACUAUAGCGUUAGGAAUACAAAUAAACUCAAAAACUAUACAAACUCACCCCUUCACUCAAACACAAAUACUUCACACAAAUGUAAAUCCACAUUUAAAAGUGAACAUUACAUUCAGACACACCCCUGCAAUCAAACCCAAACAUUUCAUACAAACACACCCCUGUAUUAACCCCUUCAGGACGGGUGACGGACGAGGUCCGUCACACAGGGGAGACCCUUAACGACGGGUGACGGACCUCGUCCGUCACGCGGUAAAAUUAACCCCGGAUCGCCGCUAUCGCGGCGAUCGCGGGGUUAAUGGUGCUCCCGGUAUGCCUCUGCAUUAGCGGCAUACAGGGAGCACCCGGUCAGGCUGCCCAGCACAUGUGCUCGCUCUGACCACAAGUCGGAGCGAGCACAUGUGCUCUGUAUACUCACCUACCGGCUCCCUGCACUUCCGGGUUCUGUGUGAAGUGCAGGGAGCCGGAUCAGUGCUGAUCCUGCCCCCUGCUGUAAAAAAAAAUAAAGUUUAUUUAAAGUCCCCCCCCCCUUACCCAUUUUAAUAAAAAAUUAACCCCUUCCCUGCCAAUUGAUCACUGACUACAGUGAUCAAUUGGCAGGGAUUACAUUUUACUAUGAUCUGAUUUUUUUUUUUAACCCCUGAGGGUUAAUUCUUUUUUUUUUAACCCUCAGGGGUUAAAUUAAUUAAAUUAAUUAAUUAAAUUAUUUUUAAAUUAUAUAUUUAGAUAGCUGGGGUAGGUGGAAGUUAGUGGGGAAUUGGGGGAUUUGACGUUAGGCUAACUAGGGGUUAACGUUAAAAAAAAGUUUUAAAAGAAACUUUAAAAAGUUAAAAAUUAAGCUUAAAAAAAUGUUUUAAUAACAUUUAAGUAAUAAAAACAAAAAAACACACUUUACCUAGUCCAAAUAAAAAUUAACCCCUUCCCUGCCAGUCGAUCACUGCCUACAGCGAUCAAAUAGAGAUCACAGUAUUAUACUGUGAUCUAAUUUUUUUUAACCCCUCAGGAUUAACUUUUAUUUAUUUUUUUUAACCCUCAAGGGUUCAAUUUAUUUAAUUAAUUAAUUUAAAUAUUUUAUAACUAUAUAUUUUGCUAGCUGGGGUGGGUGGGAGUUAUGGGAAAAUGGGGAAUUUACUGUUAGUGCUGCGUACUGCUAGUUAGGGGUUAACAGUAAAAAAAAUAGCUUAGAAAAAUGUUAAAUCUGUAAAAAAGUUUUAAGAAAGUUUAGGAAAGUUUAAAAAAAAUUUAUAAGCAAAACAAAAGUUUAAAAACUAGUUUUUAAAAGUAAAAAAGUUAUAAAAAGUAAAAAAAUACAUUUUAAAAACGCUCAUUACCACUACACCUGGAACAAACUAGAGAAAAAAUUAUCCCAUGCCAAGGUUCAAAAUAUGCCUUUUGAAUUACCCCAGGGUGUAUUCUUUAAUAAAUAGUAUGUGUUUGUGGGGAAGUCUCAAUAACCAACCGUCUAAACUAUUCCAAAUUGGAACAUGGACACAGCGUAAAACUUCAAAGUUAGAAAAAAACUGAAUGGCUGCGUCUCAAAUGCGCCACUUCAACAUCCACAUAUACCUGGCAAAGGUCAUAUGGGGGUAUUGCUGUACUCAGCCGACAUAGCUGAGCAACAUAUGAAGUAUUAUACAGUCAUAGUACACAUAAGGUUUGCAAAAUAUGCUGCGCAAACUCACUUUGUAUGUCAAAAAGGCAGAAAAAAUGCUUAUAACCACUACACUUGGUACAAGCUACGGAAAAAUGAUCCCACGCUAAGGUUCAAAAUAUGCCUUUUGAAAUACCCUGGGAUGUCUUCUUUAAGAAAUGGCAUGCCUUUAUGGAGAAUUUGGAUUAUAUAGCCUGGUAAAAUACUCUAAAAUGGGACAUAGGCACAGCAUAAAAAUUCAAAGUUUGAAAAAAACUGGAAUGGCUGUGUCCCAAAUGUGCCCCUCCGAUGUCCACACAUACCUGGCAAAGGUACAUACGUGGGUAUUGCUGUACUCAGCCGACAUAGCUGAGCAACAUAUGAAGUAUUAUACAGUCGUAGCACACAUAAGGUUUGCAAAAUAUACUGUGCAAACUCACUUUGUAUGUCAAAAAGGCAGAAAAAAUGCUUAUUACCACUACACUUGAUACAAGCUAGCGGAAAAAUGAUCCCACGCUGAGGUUCAAAAUAUGCCUUUUUGAAAUACCCUGGGAUGUCUUCUUUAAGAAAUGGUAUGGCUUUAUGGGGAAUUUGGAUUAUAUAGUCUGGUAAAAUACUCUAAAAUGGGACAUAGGCACAGCAUAAAAAUUCAAAGUUUGAAAAAAACUGGAAUGGCUGUGUCCCAAAUGUGCCCCUCCGAUGUCCACACAUACCUGGCAAAGGUACAUACGGGGGUAUUGCUGUACUCAGCCGACAUAGCUGAGCAACAUUUGAAGUAUUAUACAGUCGUAGCACACAUAAGGUUUGCAAAAUAUACUGUGCAAACUCACUUGUAUGUCAAAAAGGCAGAAAAAACGCUUAUUACCACUACAUCUGGUACAAGCUAGUGGAAAAAUGAUCCCACGCUAAGGUUCAAAAUAUACCUUUUGAAACACCCUGGGGUGUCUACUUUAAGAAAUGGUAGGCCUUUGUGGGGUAGUUUGAAUUUAAAACCCGCGAAGAUGCUUGGAAAUUGCACAUAGGCACAGCGUCAAAAUUCAAAGUUUGGUAAAAACGGAUAUGGCUUGGUCUCCUAUAUGGCACUGUAGCUUCACAAAAUAGUGACAAAGACAUUCAUUGGGGGUGUAUUUUUACUCAAAAGACUUAGCCGAGCAUAAUUUGGGAGGUUUGAACUUAGUGGCACAUAUGAAAUAUACAAAACGCCCAGCAAAAAUGCAAUCCAUAUGUAAAAAAUGCACAAAAUAAUUUUUUUACCACAUACUUUGGCAUAUAUUGGUGAAAAAAUGGGGGUAUGUUAAGGCACAAUAUGCACCUUAUGAGAUACCCUGGAGUGUCUACUUUUACAAAUGGUAGGCCUUUGUGUGGGGUUUUUGAACAGUCAAACUGUUAUAAUACCCCAAAUGGAAGCUAAGGCUCAUUAAAUCCAUCUCUCAAAAUUCUACUGUGAAUACUGUAAAGGACAGGUCUCCUAUAUGGCACUGUAGCUUCACGAAAUAGUGCCAAAGACAUUCAUAUGGGGUGCCAUUUUACUCAGAAGACUUAGCUGAGCAUAAUUUGGGGGGUUUGAACUUAGUGGCACAUAUGAAAUAUACAAAACGCCCAGCAAAAAUGCAAUCCGUAUGUAAAAAAUGCACAAAAUUUUUUUUUACCACAUACUUUGUCAUAUAUUGGUGAAAAAAUGGGGGCAUGUUAAGGCACAAUAUGCACCUUAUAAGAUACCCUGGAGUGUCUACUUUUACAAAUGGUAGGCCUUUGUGGUUUUUUUUUGAACAGUCAAACUGUUAUAAUACCCCAAAUGGAAGCUAAGGCUCAUUAAAUUAAUCUCUCAAAAUUCUACUGUGAAUACUGAAAAGGACAGGUAUCCUGUAUGGCACUGUAACUUCACGAAAUAGUGCAAAAGACAUACAAUGGGGGUGUCAUUUUACUCAGUAGAUGUAACUGAACACAAAAUAAAACUUUGUACAGGAAUAGCACACACCAACUUUACAAAAUAUACACGAGAAUUUCUCUGUUAUAAGUUUGUGUGCCAAAAACCAAAAGAACACAAUUUUACUCCAAUAUUUAGCAGAGGUUGGCGGUGAAAUGGCUACGUAGAAAGUGUCAAAACAAUCUUAGGUAAAUAGCCCGUGAUGUCUACUUUAUAUAAAUAUAUACUUUUGUGUGGCAAUUUUGUUUUCUUUUAUGGCUAUUAAGCUUACAAGACAAACAUACUAAAUUCUAAAAUCGCUCCACAUUAAAAGUUUAUUUUACUCCUUGUGCUUUGUGACCUGUAACUACCAAAAACUUAAAAUCCCAGACACAUUAUAUAUUCUGUAAAUCAGAACAAAUAAAUAAAUUUAUUUUUAAUUACUUUCCUUAACCUGCACUAAUUAUGCACACAUUAUUAUUGCAAAAACUGUAAAAAAAACCAAUAUUUUUCAUUUUUUUGGCAUUUUUCUGUAUUUUUUUAUAAUAAGUAAGCAUUUAUAUAUAUAUAUGUUAUAUCAAAUUAAAGCCCUUUCUGUCCUUUAAAAAACAGUAUAUAAUAUGUGUCGGUGCAAUAAAUGAGAGAGAUGCAAAUUGAAGUUGAACGCAAACAGCAAGAAAAUGCAAAAAUUGCUUGUGUCAUUAAGCGUAAGUCAAGCUUCUGAAGCUGUGUCCUUAAGGGGUUAAGACCGGAGGGCGUACUAUUACACCCUAUUUUAGGCGGCUCUAAAUGCCGCCGGGCGUAAUAGUACACCCUCCGGUCUUUCUUUACUUACCCGGUCGCUGGCGGUCCCACGCCGGCGAUGGCGGUGGGGGGGACUCCCAGGGCGCCCCCCGCGGCACAUCUUCACUCCAGCAGCCCCCCUGGCCAUGUGAGAGUGAGGUCCUUGCGAGGACCCCACAAUCACAUGGCCGAGGGUAGCUGGCUGCAGCAUUGCCAGCAGGGGGACUGCCUGUAAUGACAGGUGGUCCCCCUGCUGGCUGGAAAUAAAGUUAAAUAAAAUUAAUUAAAGUUUAAAAGUGUAAAAAAAAAAAAAAUUAUAUACUUAGAUCAUGUAUAUACACAUACACAUAUACAUACACACACAUACUGUCUAGGUGUAUUUUACUAUUAAAAAAAAAAAAAUAUAUAUAUAUAUAUAUAUAUAUAUAUAAUAUAAAAAUAUCAAAUUACACGUAGACUGAUACUGAUUAAAUAUAUAUAUAAUUAUUGUUAUAUAUAUAUUUAUAUAUAAUAUAAAAAAAAUUAAAUAUGGAAAUACGUUAAAAAAAUAAAUUUUUAAAAAAAAAUAAUUAAAAAAUAUAUAGAUGUUAUUUUGUUGUAACUGUAUUGUGAUAUUAAUAUAUAUAUUUAUAUCAAAAUACACGUAGAACGAAAUAUAUCUAUAUACAUAAAUAUAUAAGUAUAUAUCACUAUAAAUAUAUAUAUAUAUAUAUAUAUAUAUAUAUAUAUUUUCACAUACGUGUGUGUGUAUAUAUAUAUACAUAUACUAAUUCUACAUAUAUAUUUAUGUAAUAUUUUUACUUAAUUAGGUAUUUUAAUUAAUUAAUUACAAUUAGCCGGACCUGCCUGACAACCCAUGCCGAAAGUAAAGGGAAUUUAAUUUGCUAGCACUAUAUUUAACCCUGUAACUUUCCAAGACACCAUAAAACCUGUACAUGGGGGGUACUGUUCUACUCGGGAGACUUCGCUGAACACAAAUAUUAGUGUUUCAAAACAGUAAAAUGUAUUAUAACGAUGAUAUCGCCAGUAAAAGUGAAGUUUUUUGCAUUUUUCACGCACAAACAGCAUUACACGGACAAUAUUAUUGCUGUGAUACUUUUUACUGUUUUGAAACACAAAUAUUUGUGUUCUGGGAAGUCUCCUGAGUACAACAGUACCCCUCAUGUACAGGUUUUAUGGUGUUUUGAAAAGUUACAGCGUCAAAUAUAAGGCUUGUGUUUCAUUUUUUUCACAUUAAAAUUCGCCAGAUUGGGUACGUUGCCUUUGAGACCCUAUGGUUGCCCAAGAAUGAAAAUUACCCCUAUGAUGGCAUACCAUUUGCAAAAGAAGACAACCCAAGGUAUUGCAAACAGGGUAAGCCCAUUCUUUUUCAGUAGCCACUUAGUCACAAACACUGGCCAAAAUUGGCGUUUUUUGCAUUUUUCACACACAAACAAAUACUAACGCCAACUUUGACAUACCUCAUUUGCAAUACCUUGGGUUGUCUACUAUUGCAAAUGGUAUGCCAUUAUGGGUGUAAAUUUCAUUCCUGGGCUACUAUAAAGUCCCAAAGGCAGCGUAACCAAUCUGGCGAAUUUCAAUUUCAAAUGUAACGUGCUAUAUUUGACCCUGUAACUUCCCAAAACGCCAUAAAACCUGUACAUAGGGGGUACUGUUUUACACAUGAGACUUUGCUGAAUACAAAUGUGUAUUUUAUUGCAGUAAAAGCAAACAGUAUUAUGACAUUGACCGUUAAAAUGUCAUGUAGAACUAAAAAAAUAAAAAAAAUCUUUUCUCCCAUUUUUUUCAUAUUAAAUUAUGUUUCAUAGCUAAAUAUUUGAUAUUAAAUGAAAGCCCUGUUUCCCCUGAAUAAAAUGAUAUAUAAUAAGGGUAGGUGCAUUUAAUAUGAAAGAGGUGAAUUACGGUUGGACAGACAUGUAGCGCAAAUGCCAGGUUUUGUUUACAUUUUGUUUUGUUCACAACGUGUACAUUUGGCUCCGUCCUUAAGGGGUUAAAACAUAAUAAAUGUAUACAAACAUCCCUUUAAACACCAACACUGUACAUUACACUAUAGCACCAAUAAAUUCUGCAGCACUGUACAGAUCUACAACCUAAAAAUUGACUUGGGGUGCCUUGGAAAAAUACUGAAAUAUUAAGGACGCCUUGAAUCUAAAAAGUUUGGGAACCACUGUAUUACACAAUACUUUUUAGACCUACAUCGCUGUAUGGAAAUGUAACAAUUAUUUGUAUUCAUUUUUAUGUUCAGGUGGAAGAUAGCUUAGAACUCUCAUUUCUUGGAGAUGACGAUGUGAAACUUGACAUUUUUUUCUUCUAUGAAGAUGAUGAUUAUAUGUGGAAUGGAGGAACCCAAGCUAAGAGUGGGAAGAAAUUUAAGUAUGACUGCUUUGUUUAAUUCAGUUUUGUUUAGUGUGACAGAAUGUAGGCUAAGUUUGACUAAAAUGUUAGACUUCAGACAAGGUAAAACAGUCAAAAAUAAUUGCCAUAUUCAAAAUAAUGAGAUAUGGGUACCUAGCUACAUGUGGGUAUGUGGCUGCUCAUAUGGGGGGGUGGGGAGGAAGGGAGUUUGUGGAGGAGACAUAAGAGCACAGUAAAAGCAGGUAAGCAAUCAUAAAACAAUAUAAAAUAAAAUUAUAUAAAAAUAAGGGAAAGGUAAAAUGCUACAAUCAUUUAAAAUAACAUUUUAAUAAUUCAACGUUAAGAUUAUACAGAUGUUAAAAUAGUGCCUAAUCCUGUGUUAUCAGGUUAAAGUAAUGUUACCACUUGUUUUGUGCUGUAAUUUCCUUUUAAAGUUCAUACAGAGCAGGCCUUUGGUUUUAUUCACUUUCUGUUUAGUUUGCUUAAAUCACAACUUGUGGAACUCCCUGGAAGAACAAAAAUAUAAACUCUUUGUAAUGUCUUAACCCUUUAAGAACUGUGGCGUUCUAUGCCGUCCUUUUUGGGGUGGCUCUAAAUGCUGGCAGGCAGCAUAGAACGUCCCCUUCAUCCUUAUUACUUACCCGAUCGGCGUUGCUUCCAGUCUGGGGGGACUGCCUGACAGUCUAGACAGUCCCCUUCUGCCCCGCGGGCCAUGUGAUCGCUCUGAAAGAGGCAUCCAUAGUGCUGCCUGCACAGGUAGUCUCCCUGCUCCUGUAAAAUAAAAUAAAAUAAUAUAUUGGUAAAUUAAAAAAAAAAAAAAAAAAGAUAUAUAUAUUUAUAUAUAUCUAUAUCUCAUUUCGUUUUAACUGUAUUUUGAUAUGACUAUUCAUAUCAAAAUACACUUAGAAUGAAAUAUUUAUAAAUACAUAAAAAUAAUUUAAAUUUUCAAAUACAUAAUUUUAUAAAUAACUUCAUAAAUACACAUGUAAACUUCAAAUAUAUAAAUAUGCAUAUAUUUAUAAAAUAUUUUUACACAACUAAGUAAUUUUAUUGAUUACAAUUUGAGACCUGCCAGAAAGUCCAGAGAAUUUGCUAGCACUAUAUUUAACCCUGUAACUUUCCAAGACCCUAUAAAACCUGUACAUGGGGGGUACUCUUUUACUCGGGAAACUUUGCUGAACACAAAUAUUAGUGUUUCAAAACCGUUAAACAUAUCACAGUUAAACAGUAAUAUUGUCAGUGAAAGUAACGUUUUUGCAUUUUUUUAAAAAAAUGUAAAUUUUUAUUUUUUUUAACACACAAACGGCGCUUAAACUAAUGAUACAUACGUUUUGAAAUUCCAAUAUUUGUGUUCAGCAAAGUCUCCCGAGUAUAACAUGAAAACCCCAUGUACAUGUUUUAUAUUGUUUUUGAAAGUUACAUGGUAAAAUAUUAGACUUGUUUUACAUUUUUUCACAUUGAAAUUUGCCAGAUUUGUUAUUUUGCCUAUUGAGAGUGUAUCUUUGCAUUUUUUCACAUACAUCUAUAAAGGCUAACUUUGGCCAGUGUAUGUGACUAAGUGACUACUAAAAAAGAAUGAACAUAGCCCAAAUGAAAUACCCUGGGUUGUCUACUUUUGCAAAUGGUAUGCCAUCAUGGGGGUAAUUCUCAUUCCUGGGCUACGAUACAGUCUCAAAGGCAACAUAACCAGUCUGGCAAAUUUAAUGUGUAUAAACUGAAAAAUGAACUGUGCUAUAUUUGCAGUAAAAGCUAACCGUAUUAUGAAAUUUACAGUUAAAAUGCCACGCAGAACAAGAUUUUUUUUUUUUUUUAAAUCUGUUUCUCACACUUUUUUUAUUUUAGAUUUUAUUCAUAAUUAAUUGUUUCAUAUAUAAAUUGUUCAUGUGAAAUGAAAGCCGUGUUUCUCCUGAACAAAAUGAUCUAUAAUAAGUGUGGGUGCACUUAAUAUGAAAAAAGUGAAUUACGGUUGAACAGCCUUAAAGUGCAAAUUCCAGUCUUUAAGUUUUGUUUUGAUCACAACGUGUACAACUGGCUCAGUCCUUAAGGGGUUAAUGUAAUCCCAAUUUGAGGCACAAUAUAAGCACAGUUGUUUACUGAAUUGUCAUUUUGUUUUUAAUUUCAGAUACCUCUUUCCAAAGUUUACACUUUGUUGGACUGAAUUUGUAGAGCUAAAAGUUCAAGUUCCCUGUGAAACACUGAAUUACGUGGAAGCGAACUAUGGAAAGAACUGGGAUGUCCCUUUAAAGAUCUGGGACUGGAAAAGCUCCCCAACCAAUGUUCAGCCAAAUGGCAUUUGGCCUGUGGAUGAGUGGGACAAUGUCAUUCAGCUAUACUGAGGAAGUAAACAUUAGCUGAUCUUCAAUCAUGGCAACUUGUGUAACGUGUUUAGACUAACUUGAUAUUAACCAGUUUAUAAAAUUUCAAAAGUAUUUGGUGCUGUAUUUAUUGCAGAAGAUGCUUAAAAUCGUUAAAAC